rnacentral:rRNA from 1 species
GGAUCCCAGCCGCCGCCGUAAUACGGGGGAUGCGAGCGUUAUCCGGAUUUACUGGGUUUAAAGGGUGCGUAGGUCGGGCGGCAAGUCGGCGGUGAAAUCUCUCUGCUUAACAGGGAAACUGCCGUUGAAACUGCCGUUCUUGAGUGUAAACGGGGCAGGCGGAAUUCGUAAUGUAGCGGUGAAAUGCAUAGAUAUUACGAAGAACACCGACAGCGCAGGCAGCCUGCCAGGCUACAACUGACACUGAAGCACGAAAGUGUGGGUAUCAAACAGGAUUAGAUACCCUGGUAGUCCACACGGUAAACGAUGAUUACUGGCUGUUUGCGGUAGACAGUAAGCGGCUGAGCGAAAGCGUUAAGUAAUCCACCUGGGGAGUACGCCGGCAACGGUGAAACUCAAAGGAAUUGACGGGGGCCCGCACAAGCGGAGGAACAUGUGGUUUAAUUCGAUGAUACGCGAGGAACCUUACCCGGGCUCGAACGGCUGUAGCAUAUCCGUGAAAGCGGGUAGCCAGCGAUGGCUGCAGUCGAGGUGCUGCAUGGUUGUCGUCAGCUCGUGCCGUGAGGUGUCGGCUUAAGUGCCAUAACGAGCGCAACCCCUUCCGGAAGUUGCCACCGGGUAAAGCCGGGGACUCUGCCGGGACUGCCGCCGCAAGGUGCGAGGAAGGGGGGGAUGACGUCAAAUCAGCACGGCCCUUACGUCCGGGGCUACACACGUGUUACAAUGGGGGGGACAGAAGGCUGCUACCUGGCGACAGGAUGCGAAUCCCGAAACCCUUUCCCGGUUCGGACCGGAUUCUGCAACCCGACUCCGCGAAGCCGGAUUCGCUAGUAAUCGCGCAUCAGCCACGGCGCGGUGAAUACNUUCCCGGGCCUUGUACACACCGCCCGUAAGCUU